GAGUGGCGAACUGGUGAGUAACACGUGGGAAACCUGCCCAGAAGCGGGGGAUAACACCUGGAAACAGAUGCUAAUACCGCAUAACAACUUGGACCGCAUGGUCCGAGUUUGAAAGAUGGCUUCGGCUAUCACUUUUGGAUGGUCCCGCGGCGUAUUAGCUAGAUGGUGGGGUAACGGCUCACCAUGGCAAUGAUACGUAGCCGACCUGAGAGGGUAAUCGGCCACAUUGGGACUGAGACACGGCCCAAACUCCUACGGGAGGCAGCAGUAGGGAAUCUUCCACAAUGGACGAAAGUCUGAUGGAGCAACGCCGCGUGAGUGAAGAAGGGUUUCGGCUCGUAAAACUCUGUUGUUAAAGAAGAACAUAUCUGAGAGUAACUGUUCAGGUAUUGACGGUAUUUAACCAGAAAGCCACGGCUAACUACGUGCCAGCAGCCGCGGUAAUACGUAGGUGGCAAGCGUUGUCCGGAUUUAUUGGGCGUAAAGCGAGCGCAGGCGGUUUUUUAAGUCUGAUGUGAAAGCCUUCGGCUCAACCGAAGAAGUGCAUCGGAAACUGGGAAACUUGAGUGCAGAAGAGGACAGUGGAACUCCAUGUGUAGCGGUGAAAUGCGUAGAUAUAUGGAAGAACACCAGUGGCGAAGGCGGCUGUCUGGUCUGUAACUGACGCUGAGGCUCGAAAGUAUGGGUAGCAAACAGGAUUAGAUACCCUGGUAGUCCAUACCGUAAACGAUGAAUGCUAAGUGUUGGAGGGUUUCCGCCCUUCAGUGCUGCAGCUAACGCAUUAAGCAUUCCGCCUGGGGAGUACGGCCGCAAGGCUGAAACUCAAAGGAAUUGACGGGGGCCCGCACAAGCGGUGGAGCAUGUGGUUUAAUUCGAAGCUACGCGAAGAACCUUACCAGGUCUUGACAUACUAUGCAAAUCUAAGAGAUUAGACGUUCCCUUCGGGGACAUGGAUACAGGUGGUGCAUGGUUGUCGUCAGCUCGUGUCGUGAGAUGUUGGGUUAAGUCCCGCAACGAGCGCAACCCUUAUUAUCAGUUGCCAGCAUUAAGUUGGGCACUCUGGUGAGACUGCCGGUGACAAACCGGAGGAAGGUGGGGAUGACGUCAAAUCAUCAUGCCCCUUAUGACCUGGGCUACACACGUGCUACAAUGGAUGGUACAACGAGUUGCGAACUCGCGAGAGUAAGCUAAUCUCUUAAAGCCAUUCUCAGUUCGGAUUGUAGGCUGCAACUCGCCUACAUGAAGUCGGAAUCGCUAGUAAUCGCGGAUCAGCAUGCCGCGGUGAAUACGUUCCCGGGCCUUGUACACACCGCCCGUCACACCAUGAGAGUUUGUAACACCCAAAGUCGGUGGGGUAACCUU
rnacentral:rRNA from 2 species